UACGAAGGGUGCUAGCGUUGUCCGGAAUCACUGGGCGUAAAGCGUACGCAGGCGGCCAUGCAAGUCAGGGGUGAAAUCCUGGGGCUUAACCCCAGAAUUGCCUUUGAAACUGCAUGGCUAGAGAUUGGCAGGGGAGUGUGGAAUUCCUAGUGUAGAGGUGAAAUUCGUAGAUAUUAGGAGGAACACCAACGGCGAAGGCAGCUCGCUGGGACGGUACUGACGCUGAGGCGCGAAAGCGUGGGGAGCGAACAGG
rnacentral:rRNA from 1 species